AGUCUGUCCAUGUGAAUGUGCUGUGUGGAAGAGUAAAAGGGUCCAAGUAAAUGUGUUCCAGUGAUUCCAAUAGCUAUUUAGCUGGUACCUACCGCUAUAUCACCUAGUGUGAAAUUUCGGAUUUAAUGGAAUAAUGAAGGAAGCGGUGCAGCUGGAGGCUUCAAGUGGGCUUGGAAGGUCUCCAAUUUAUGCAGUCAUUCCGCUGUGAAAGUGAACUAACCUUGUUAUUAUUGAAGGCCUUGGAAAUUUUUACCAGCCGAGAGAUUUUUCUCUUACUCAGGGUAAGAUGUAAUCAUAGUGUGCUAGAGCUGGAAGGGACUUGACUUACUUAAUCCAUUUGCCUGAUUUCGUAUGUUACAUGUUAUCAAACUGAAGCUGAGAACAUAAGUGGCCUGCACAGCUUGUUAAAUAUCAAAUUUGAUUAGUACUUAUCAAUUCCUCCACCCCACCCCAACUCAUGCCUUUUAAAACGUGAGUGACUGUCACAUGGAAUUUUUAACAUAAUUGUUUAAGAUCAAUUUGAAUAAUAUAGACUGCACUCAGCUUUGAUUUGUGUCAGUAACGGCAGGCAGAUGAUCUUGAAAAAACUUCAUUCUCUUUUCUAAUAACCUUCCCUUGUUAAUGUCCAAGUCUUUCCUUUGGUGGCUGCCAGAUGAUGAGGAUCAAUAAAAAUCUCUUAGAACAUACAUGCUUGACAGUGUCACUCAUGAUAGGGCAUUUGGUAAACCAUAUAGCUUGUGUACCCUAACCCUCAUAAUGACAGCCAUAAGAAGGUGAGCAUGGGAGGGAAAAUGCUACCUCUCUUGUGAACUGGAGCAGGCCCCUACCAAUCCUGAAAACGGAUUCAGAACAAAAUAAAGUUUCAAAACAUCUCUUCCUUGAUCUGUUCAGCUCACCGUGAUAAUCAGUAGGACCAGUAAUAAUGCCAUAAUCCUAUCCACUGGUGUCUUCUUUCAUACUUACCAUUCCUUAACCAGAAAGGUCUCUAAGCCUGUGUUUUAAGUAAUGUUGAUAUUUAUUAAACCAAAAAUGAUGAAUGAAUGAAUAAAUGCUGUGGACUUAGUUGGGUGUUGGGUGCUUUUUUUAAAUGGCAGCCAAUUG